rnacentral:sRNA from 1 species
CAGAGCUGCGGCGGGGGCGGCGGGGCGCGGGGCGCGGGGGCCCAGCUGAGCCGGCCGUCGGAGCGAGACCCUGCGGCAGAGACGACGGAGGCGGAAGCAACCCGAUCCCGGAGGCGGCGGCGGCGGGGGGAGCCGGAGCCGCCUGGGAUGUUCAGUCAUGAAACGAGUGCGUACCGAGCAGAUUCAGAUGGCAGUGUCCUGCUACCUCAAACGCCGGCAGUACGUGGACUCAGAUGGUCCCCUGAAGCAAGGACUGCGGCUGUCACAGACUGCUGAAGAGAUGGCGGCCAAUCUAACAGUGCAAUCAGAAUCUGGUUGUGCCAACAUAGUGUCUGCAGCCCCUUGCCAGGCAGAACCCCAGCAAUAUGAAGUACAGUUUGGACGACUGCGGAAUUUUCUCACUGGUCUCUGAAGAGCAGUUAACCAAAUCAAAUGAAUAGUUAUUUCCUGAUCACCAAGAUAAAGUGUUGUCUGUAGAUGAGAGAUUCUGUGAGCUCACCUAUUGCCGU